rnacentral:rRNA from 1 species
AACGAACGCUGGCGGCAUGCCUAACACAUGCAAGUCGAACGAAACCUUCGGGUUUAGUGGCGCACGGGUGCGUAACGCGUGGGAACCUGCCCUUAGGUUCGGAAUAAUUCCCCGAAAGGGGUGCUAAUACCGGAUAAUCUCUUUGGGGCAAAGAUUUAUCGCCUUUGGAUGGGCCCGCGUUGGAUUAGGUAGUUGGUAGGGUAAUAGCCUACCAAGGCGACGAUCCAUAGCUGGUCUGAGAGGAUGAUCAGCCACACUGGGACUGAGACACGGCCCAGACUCCUACGGGAGGCAGCAGUGGGGAAUAUUAGACAAUGGGCGAAAGCCUGAUCCAGCCAUGCCGCGUGAGUGAUGAAGGCCUUAGGGUUGUAAAGCUCUUUUACCCGGGAUGAUAAUGACGGUACCGGGAGAAUAAGCUCCGGCUAACUCCGUG